UACGUAGGGGGCAAGCGUUAUCCGGAUUUACUGGGUGUCAAGGGAGCGUAGACGGUGUGGCAAGUCUGAUGUGAAAGGCAUGGGCUCAACCCCGGGACUGCAUUGGAAACUGUCAAUCUGGAGUACCGGAGAGGUAAGCGGAAUUCCUAGUGUAGCGGUGAAAUGCGUAGAUAUUAGGAGGAACACCAGUGGCGAAGGCGGCUUACUGGACGGUAACUGACGUUGAGGCUCGAAAGCGUGGGGAGCAAACAGG
rnacentral:rRNA from 1 species